rnacentral:rRNA from 1 species
CGUGCCAGCAGCCGCGGUAAUACGUAGGGAGCAAGCGUUAUCCGGAUUUAUUGGGCGUAAAGGGCUCGUAGGCGGUUCGUCGCGUCCGGUGUGAAAGUCCAUCGCUUAACGGUGGAUCCGCGCCGGGUACGGGCGGGCUUGAGUGCGGUAGGGGAGACUGGAAUUCCCGGUGUAACGGUGGAAUGUGUAGAUAUCGGGAAGAACACCAAUGGCGAAGGCAGGUCUCUGGGCCGUCACUGACGCUGAGGAGCGAAAGCGUGGGGAGCGAACAGGAUUAGAUACCCUGGUAGUCCACGCCGUAAACGGUGGAUGCUGGAUGUGGGGACCAUUCCACGGUCUCCGUGUCGGAGCCAACGCGUUAAGCAUCCCGCCUGGGGAGUACGGCCGCAAGGCUAAAACUCAAAGAAAUUGACGGGGGCCCGCACAAGCGGCGGAGCAUGCGGAUUAAUUCGAUGCAACGCGAAGAACCUUACCUGGGCUUGACAUGUUCCCGACAGCCGUAGAGAUACGGUCUCCCUUCGGGGCGGGUUCACAGGUGGUGCAUGGUCGUCGUCAGCUCGUGUCGUGAGAUGUUGGGUUAAGUCCCGCAACGAGCGCAACCCUCGCCCUGUGUUGCCAGCACGUCGUGGUGGGAACUCACGGGGGACCGCCGGGGUCAACUCGGAGGAAGGUGGGGAUGACGUCAGAUCAUCAUGCCCCUUACGUCCAGGGCUUCACGCAUGCUACAAUGGCCGGUACAACGGGAUGCGACACCGCGAGGUGGAGCGGAUCCCUUAAAACCGGUCUCAGUUCGGAUUGGAGUCUGCAACCCGACUCCAUGAAGGCGGAGUCGCUAGUAAUCGCGGAUCAGCAACGCCGCGGUGAAUGCGUUCCCGGGCCUUGUACACACCGCCCGUCAAGUCAUGAAAGUGGGUAGCACCCGAAGCCGGUGGCCCAACCUUUUUGGGGGGGAGCCGUCUAAGGUGAGACUCGUGAUUGGGACUAAGUCGUAACAAGGUAGCCGUACCGGAAGGUGCGGCUG